rnacentral:rRNA from 1 species
UACAGAGGUCCCAAGCGUUGUUCGGAUUCAUUGGGCGUAAAGGGUGCGUAGGCGGCGCGGUAAGUCGGGUGUGAAAUCUCGGAGCUUAACUCCGAAACUGCAUUCGAUACUGCCGUGCUUGAGGACUGGAGAGGAGACUGGAAUUUACGGUGUAGCGGUGAAAUGCGUAGAUAUCGUAAGGAAGACCAGUGGCGAAGGCGGGUCUCUGGACAGUUCCUGACGCUGAGGCACGAAGGCCAGGGGGAGCAAACGGGAUUAGAAAACCC